rnacentral:rRNA from 1 species
CCUACGGGAGGCAGCAGUGGGGAAUAUUGGGCAAUGGGCGCAAGCCUGACCCAGCAACGCCGCGUGAAGGAAGAAGGCUUUCGGGUUGUAAACUUCUUUUCUCAGGGACGAAGAAAGUGACGGUACCUGAGUAAUAAGCCACGGCUAACUACGUGCCAGCAGCCGCGGGAAUACGUAGGUGGCAAGCGUUAUCCGGAUUUAUUGGGUGUAAAGGGCGUGUAGGCGGGAGCGCAAGUCAGAUGUGAAAACUCAGGGCCCAACCCUGAGCCUGCAUUUGAAACUGUGUUUCUUGAGUGCUGGAGAGGCAAUCGGAAUUCCGUGUGUAGCGGUGAAAUGCGUAGAUAUACGGAGGAACACCAGUGGCGAAGGCGGAUUGCUGGACAGUAACUGACGCUGAGGCGCGAAAGCGUGGGGAGCAAACAGGAUUAGAUACCCUUGUAGUC